GAGAUGAGUUCUCCCUGACCCUUUAAGGGUCCUGAAGGAACGUUGAAGACGACGACGUUGAUAGGCCGGGUGUGUAAGCGCAGCGAUGCGUUGAGCUAACCGGUACUAAUGAACCGUGAGGCUUAACCUU
rnacentral:rRNA from 1 species